GUAAUUAGCGAUUGCUUUUAUUCCCACAGAGGUGAGGAAAGAGGUCAAAGCUGGUGCCAUUGAGCUGAGUAAAUUCUCUUGCUGAGAUUAGGGUAGAGCUGGGAUCGAGCUGCUCUAAGUCCCCAGGUGCCAAGGAAAAAAAUCCUUUAACAAAAGGGACCUGAACAAAGGAAUAAGCAGGCCUUCCAGUCCAGCAAACAGUGCUAUUUCCUCAUCCUUUUGGUGAACAUUUGAGACAACAUUGCUCUCCCUUUGGCUGAAAAUUGGAGGCUCAGGUAUAAUUUGAACAUACAGCAUGGUGGAGCUCUGACUGAUAGGAGGCAACCUUCAAGUAUCACACUGUGGAUUACUUAUUUUAAGAAAAAAGAGAGCUGGCUUUUCCCUUCAAACAGAUCUUAUUCCCAGACUGCAUAUGCCACUUGCCUAGAGAUUUCCUGGAUGCUGCAGGUGAUCAACAUAAUGUGACUCACAACAGAAGAAGACUUGGAGUCAGCAGUAUCCUUCAAAAAGAUUGGUAGGAGAAAAAAUUAAACUUGGAGCUUGGCCAUGCCUUUGGGUGAGAAAUACCUUGCUGUGCUGGAGCCCUGAGAUCAUGACUGACUCAGGCGAAGUAAAAGGAAAAUGCCGUGGCUGUGCAUAUCCAAGAAAAGCCAAGAUGCAAGUCUCUUUCCAAGGCUGGCUAGCUACUGGGAAAAAGAAGAAUGCCCAUGGCGUAGUAGCAGGCGUCAGUUCU